UUUAUGGGAUAAUUGCCUAUAUACCUCUCAUGCGUCUGGAAAUAUCCGAUCUACUCCUACUUUUUUUUUCUUUCUAAAAUGCCCCUCAUAUAUUCCACCGUUAUUCCAAAAUACCCCUGCAGUUAUCCCUUGUUAGCUUAACUCGGGUUAAACAUGGGUUAAAUGUAUACUAGAGUUAAAACCUAUAUAAAAUACCUAUUUUACCCCUACCUUAUUAUUCUAAUCCCUUAAGUUAUCCUCUUCCUCUCCCAACUUGAUCGCCUCCUCCGCCUCUACCUUGCCGGCUUCUCCGCCUCCACCUCGCCUCAUCUACUCCACUCCCAGACCACUACCACCUCUCACACCUCCACCUCCAACACUACCUCUCUCGUCGCUCUCGUCGUCCUCCUCCUCCGCCACUCUCGUCGUCGUCCUCCUCCGUCGCCCUCGACUUCUUCUUGUCCCUCCGCGGUGCCGUCCUCUCCGAGCGCUUCCGCUGGGGUGACCGCUUCCGCCCCUUGGUCCCCUCCCUGCGCGCCUCCGCCGCCGCCGACCCCUCCGCCCUCUCGAAGCGCAAGCUCCGCGUCCUCCUCUUCUCCCCCGGGCCCCCUCCCUUCCAGGAUGGGGUAGUCGCCCGAGUCGUGGCCCAUCUAGCCGGACUGGAUCCAGAGGAGGCCGACGAGGGCGCCGGACAGCAAGUGGGCGAGCGGGGAGGGGGAGAGACGGACGAGAAGGACGGCGGAGAGGGGGAGCGCGAGCAUAGCGAGGAGGGAGAGGAAGGGGAGGAGCGGGGAGGGGUGGAAAAGGCCGAGGCGGGAGAACUCGGAGCAGAGCCAGCGGUAGUCGGCGGAGGCCGGGAAGACGGCCGGGUCCGAGAGCCGGACGACGAGGAAGCGGAAGAGGAGCGGGAAGGCGGACGGGGAGUGUUGCGCGGUGUUGAGCGCGGAGAGGAGCAACCGAUGUGCAUGGUCCACGAGGCCAGUUUGGCCUCGUGGACCGGAUGAGAGGGAAGUCCGCGGUGGACCUCCCUCUCAUUUUAUAUAUAUAUAAAUAUAUAAAUAUAUGUAUAUAUAUAAUUUUAUUUAUAAAUUUAUAAUUAUUUAUUAAUAUUUUUAAAUAUAUAACUCUUAUAUAUUAUUAAUAUAUAUUUAUUAUAAUUUUAAAUAUAUUUAAUCUAUAUAUAAAUAUUAUAAUAAUAAUAAUAUAUAUAGUAUAAUAUCAAAUUUUUAAAAAUUAUAUAUAAAAAUUAUAUUUGAUUCCGAAUUUUUAAUUGGUGAACGUAUAAUACCCGUAUAAAUCACGUAUCCGAAUAACUGCCGAAUCCGUUUUUUAGCCGUAUUUUUCAACGAAUUUAAAAAAUAAAAGACGAAUUUUAUCCGAAUUAUAUCCGUACCGAAUUUUUGCCAAAUUCGAAUUAGCUAACUAUGCCUCCAGCCACCAAGGUUGGUUUAGCUGCAAUCGAUCUCAUCCAUUCAUUUACUUGCUCCCGACGCUAAUUAAUUAAUUGAUAUUUGAAGGGCAAAUAAGAAAAGUAUUUGCUAUAUGAAGGGUAUAUAAGAAAAGUUAGUUACGGUACAAGGGUAUAUUGGAAUAGGUAAAAUGGUAAUUUUUCAGAGAUAAUGGCAGCUCACUAACGGAACUUAACUACAGGGAUAUAUUAGAAAGACUUGGAACAUAAGAAGAGUAUUUUCAAUAUUAGCCUUUUAAGAGGGGUAAAUAAGAAAACCGAGAACUUUUCAGGAGUAUAUAGGCAAUUGCCCCUUUUUUUAUUUACCUAUUAUUAAGGGAAUCAGUUUUUUUAGAAAAUUAUAAAAUUUGAGUCUUAUAAUGUUGGAGGGAUAACCCAGAACAAUGCAUAAUAUCCUCCUUUAUCCCCCCAAACACAAUGCAAAAUGGAAUAUCUCCCUUGUUCUGGGUUUAACGGGUUAUUCCUGAAUAACCCGUUAAGUCCAGUUCUCCUUUACAUGAAGAACAAGCUAACUAGAACAGAAAAUUUUAUGCUACUAAAUUAAUGUUUCUAAGGUGAUUUGUAAACAUACCAAAUUUGUGAAAUAAUCUGCUCUUCUAUAUUUAAAAUUAUAUAUUUAUAUUUAAUUUUAAUUAAUUUUAAACAUAAAAUUAGAAGUAUAUUUUUACUGCUAUAUUCAAAAUUAUACUAUCUAUAUCUAUAAUCUAUAAUCUAUAAUNGCCACCAAGGUUGGUUUAGCUGCAAUCGAUCUCAUCCAUUCAUCUACUUGCUCCCGACGCUAAUUAAUUAAUUGAUAUUUGAAGGGCAAAUAAGAAAAGUAUUUGCUAUAUGAAAGGUAUAUAAGAAAAGUUAGUUACGGUAUAAGGGUAUAUUGGAAUGGGUAAAAUGGUAAUUUUUCAGAGAUAAUGGCAGCUCACUAACGGAACUUAACUACAGGGGUAUAUUAGAAAGACUUGGAACAUAAGAAGGGUAUUUUCAAUAUUAGCCUUUUAAGAGGGGUAAAUAAGAAAACCGAGAACUUUUCAGGAGUAUAUAGACAAUUGCCCCUUUUUUUAUUUACCUAUUAUUAAGGGAAUGAGUUUUUUUAAAAAAUUAUAAAAUUUGAGUCUUAUAAAGCUGCGUUUAGUUGGAGGGAUAACCCAGAACAAGGCGUAAUAUCCUCCUUUAUCCCCCCAAAUACAAUGCAAAAUGGAAUAUCUCCCUUGUUCUGGGUUUAACGGGUUAUUCGGGAAUAACCCGUUAAGUCCAGUUCUCCCUUACAUGAAGAACAAGCUAACUAGAACAGAAAAUUUUGCCUUUUUUUUUUUUUUUUUUUUUUUCUGUUAUGCCCUUUUAUUCCCUUUAUACUUUAUUUUAAUUAAUUUCAAAUACAUCAAAUGAAUGCUCAAAUUUUAUGCUACUAAAUUAAUGUUUCUAAGGUGAUUUGUAAACAUACCAAAUUUGUGAAAUAAUCUGCUCUUCUAUAUUUAAAAUUAUAUAUUUAUAUUUAAUUUUAAUUAAUUUUAAACAUAAAAUUAGAAGUAUAUUUUUACUGCUAUAUUCAAAAUUAUACUAUCUAUAAUCUAUAACUAUAUAUUAUUCCUCAAUAACUGCACACGUGUCGCGAGGAGGCCGCGGCAUGGGCGAGGGCGGGGGGCGCCGGCGGCCGCGGGCGCUGGCGCGGAGCGGGAGCGGGCGUGGUGCGGGNCGCGAGGGCGCGAGCGCGGGGCGCGGCACGGCGCGGCGCAGCGCGGAGCCGAAAAAACAUCGGGGCUCAUAGGGGUGGUGUUCACGGGGUCCACGAGGCCGAAGUGGCCUCGUGGACCACAUGAGAGGGAGGUCCACGGUGGACCAUUUAAAUUCUAAAAUUAAUUUUUAUAACUAAUUUUUAAAAUUAAAUUUUAAAAUAACUACCCGCAGCAUCGCGCGGGUCCCUUAACUAGUUAUAUAUUAAUUCUAUUUCGAUUCUCAUAUAUUGAAAUAUAUUUUAUUAUUAUAUUCAAGAGCAUAAUUGUCAUUUUACUUAAUUUUUAUAAAUCCAAUACCUUAUUCCAACAUAAACAUUCAAACACGAUAUAGGAAUAUUCUAGGAAUAAACAAAUAACAUCCAAACGUAAUUUAGAACUUGUUCUAACUUAUUCUCGAGAAUAACAAAAGCUAUCCUCCAAAAUUUAGUUAUCGCACCAAACGCAGCCUUAGGAAGUUCGAAUUUUGUAGAUCAAAUUUAUUGAAAUUAAAAAUAAAUAUUAAAUCUUAAAUUUGCAAAUUUUCAAAUUCAAAUGUAUUGGGGAUGUAGCUCAGAUGGUAGAGCGCUCGCUUAGCAUGCGAGAGGUACGGGGAUCGAUACCCCGCAUCUCCAAAUUUUUAAAGCUUUUUUUUAAAUUUUGAAAUUUUUUUUUUUCAAAUUUAAAAAUUUGUCUAAAGUUUUGAUCAAUGCGUAGAACCAAAAAAAUGUUCCACUUUGGCAUCUAAUAAGGGUUAAUUCCGUUUUUCAAAUUAUAAAAUUUGAUUCUUAGGGAGUUCGAAUUUCGUAGAUUAAAUCUAUUGAAAUUAAAAAUAAAUUUUAAAUUUUAAAUUUUAAAUUUUAAAAUUUUUAAAAAUUUAAAUGUAAUGGGGAUGUAGCUCAGAUGGUAGAGCGCUCGCUUAGCAUGCGAGAGGUACGGGGAUCGAUACCCCGCAUCUCCAAAUUUCUAAAGUUUUGAUCAAUGCGUUGAACCCAAAAAAAUGUUCCACUUUAGCACCUAAUGAGGGCUAAUUCCAUCAUUCGUCCCCAACAUUUUAUUUUUUUUGUAACCAGGCCAUUCAAAUUUUAAAAUUUGUCCAAAAUUUUUGAUUUAUUUAUUAAAUGAAAAUGCUGCAUCUCUAAAUAAUUUUCAAACUUAAUUUUUUUUGUUUUCAAUUUAUAAAUUAUGUACUGAACCAAAAUGGCCCAUUUGGCUUCUAAUAAAAGAUGGCUAAGAUACAUAUAAAUAUCUAUUUUGUAUUUGAACCCCUUAUCUUUUAAAAAUUUCUACUUUACUCCCUCGAAAUUUAAAAUUAUGGCCCUUAACUUGACACUCUUGCUUCUUUGUCUCUAUUCUGUGCAUACAUUAUAUGGUACAACUGGAUAACAAUUAAUAAACCUAUUUAGUUUGUAAAUUUUUAAAAAACUUAUUGCUAAAUAUUAGGAGAUCUUUUUCAUAAAAUUAUGGAAAAGCUUCAAAUACCACCCCUGUGGUUUCACAUUUUUUCACUUUAACAUCCCGUAGUUUAAAGUGUAUCAAUUUAGUAUCAUCUGGUUUGGGUGCUAAUUAAAGGGCCUAAUUAAGGAAAAGUUAACGUUGGGAAUUCCAAUGUUAACUUUUCUCAUUGUUCACAUAGUGCAAUAAAAACAUUGGAGAAAACAAGUGAAAAAAAAAAAAAUUAUUUUAAGGUUUUCAUCAAUUUUUUAUUUUCUUGAUUCUUUUGUUGCUGGGUGUUGAAAGAAUCUCCGUCAACCUCUUCCGCGUUCGUACUCAUAGGAGGAGGAAUUCCAGUCCUAUCUUGGGAUGGUUUUCGGUUAAUCCCGCACGAAGGAUGAGAAUAUACACCUUACGGCAGUGCCUCACACGCUUCCGGAUCAAAUUGUUUGAUAUUAUUCUUCCACAAAUUUUAGAAUUUAGCGAUCAUCUAUCAGUUAAAUUUAUUAAUUUCAUUACGAAAUUAGUUAGAUUUUAUCACAAUCGGAUUUUUUGUCGCGGUUUUUCCAACAAAAAAUAAGCAAUUUGGAGACCACCUGAAUAAUAAGUAAAUGAUAUCAAAAAAUCGUGAAAUUCAGACUCUAAAAAAUUCAAAUAUUCUAAAUCAAGUUUCACGGUGGAUAAUCGUCGAUUCAGAUGUAUGAUGAGGAAGUAAACACCACCUUUUUACUUGUAGAAACAUCUAAAUUUGUUCCAUAUACAAUGCACAAUUUACCUUUCAUCACAAGCAGGAAAGAGUAUAUAAUCUUAUUGACAGUAAAAAGAGUUCCACAGUGCAUAAAAACUGACGUAAACCGGCCUCGAAUUCCCUCUAGGCCUUCAAAUUUUCUUUUUCUUCUAACCUCAAUAUGUACAUUUCUCUUAAACAUCUUCAGUUACGCCACAAUUCGAUCGAUUCCGAAAAAGAGUAAAAAAAAAAAAAAAAAAAAAAAAAAAGCUUACACUGAAUCGACGACUUCGGUUGGUUUGCGACGACAUCUCAUUCACCUCGAUUUCGUGGCAUUUAGGAAUACGCAAACUCACCUCUUCGAGUUUUGAGGAAGGGGGUACGCAAUUACGCGCUAAGCUUUUGGGAUCGAGCGUGCUGAGAUCCCGUGUAGGAGUUUUACGAAUCCGAGGAAGCUGAGUUUUCCGUCGUUAUGUCUGAUCCAAUCUUGGAGAACGACGUGAACGGGCACCGAAGGGCUAAGCCCGAGUUCCUGGUUAAAACAUGCAACUACUGUUAGAAAGAACAUAAAAAAAGAAAUUGGGGACACCUAUACAACUUUAAUCUAAGGACAAUAACAACAGUUGCUAAUCUAAAUAAAUUUCAGGUUAAAAUGAAAGGGAGCUCUCGGAAUGUAGUGCAUUUAGAUGUAAAUUGAUUUAAUCUUCAUUUCUUUUCAUAUGAAUGCAACGAUAUGUCCGAAGAGAUUUGCAUGAAGGAUUAAUGGGGAUUUGAACAUUGUUUUGAUUCAUGCCACAAUUUAAGUGUCGUGGUACAGGAUUGUGCCAAGAACUUGCUGGCGUGCCGUACUGUACAGACGUGUGCCUGUCAAAAAACAUACCCAUGCGUCGCCACACUAUGACAUGACAUACUUAUUUUGGUGUCAUGCGGUGCCGAUGUGUGUCAGUCACAAAAAUGCCUCUCUGCGGACGCACUAUGACAUGACAUAUUUAUUUUCGUUGGCAUCAGUAUAUUUUAAUUGCUUGUUAUAUAUUUUUUACACUUUAUUGAGAUAAAUGCUUGCUAGCUUCAAAGAAAAGAAGAUGUCGAGCUCUGCUGUUGACACGAGGGUCGUAUCGCGCAGAUAUCUUGCUGGCAUAGUAUAGCACAGUGGGCACGGCUCGUACCGAUGGGCACUUAAAACCGUGAACUUUCGAAGUUAAGGGAGAUGCUCGAAAAUGAUCUAUAGUAGGAGUUCAUCGGUUUUUUAACCUACAAAACCUGUUAUUUGAGUCUUACCGAUGCAAGUUCCUCGAUCAUGAUAGGCCGGUUGCCGUCCUUUUCGAAAUAUUCGUAUGCGCUGCGAGCAUGCUGCUCCCAGGUAUCCAAUCCUUCCAUUUGAUAAACACUUACGGCCGAAGCGGCGAAUUCUUCAAAAUCAAGCUUUCUGUACUGAAGAGAGCUCACCUGAAAAGCAAAAUCGGACAUGAAUAAGAGCACCAUUUUUCUCAAACUUGUUUAAAAGCAAUUAGGUCUAAGUAUUUGAGCCUACCGUGUUAACAAAAUCAAGAACCCUUGAAUCCUUCAUCGCCUCGGUUGCUUGUUUCAUCAAGGCCUGUAAAUGGCGACUUAUGUUAGAAGCCCGCGAGUGGAAAUAAAUACGAUGAAUAUAGUAAGUGCCUUUUUGGCCCAGUUAGAACUUCUCGCAAAAGCAGUUUCAGCAUAGCAGUUUGAAAAGGUACUCACACCUUUUUUCGUCAAGUUAAAAUUUCCCAACUUUCCACUAUAUGAAAAAUUGAAGUUUCAAAUUAGAGCUUCUGUUUUAGCGACCUUGAAGGCCGCAUUAGCUUCCUGCUAUAGCAAAAGCUCCUAAUUAUGUAUUUGCCAAACACUAGGGCCUGUUUGUUUGGGUGAAAAUGGAGAGAGGGUGAAGCGUUUUCAGCCGUAAACGAUCACUUCUGUUGUUUGUUUCGCCAUAAUAAAGAUACGGUUGAAACACAGAGUUAUCCGAAACAGCGUAAUUGAGUCCGGGCCGAAGUCAAUUACGGUGAAAAGAUGUGAAGGAAAAAUAAUAAAAUAAUAAAAUUAUUUUACUAUUAUAUUAUUAUAGGAAUUAAUUAUAUUAUUGUUAUUUAUUAUAAUAUAAUAAUUUAUUAUUUAUUAAGUUAUUUAUUAUUUAUGUAUAAAUUAUUGUUUUAUAUCAUUCACUUUCUGCCAAACAAACAGCAGAACUGAAGAAACUUUACUUCCAUAACUAUGGAACAAACAGCAAGGGAGAAGUAGUUUUCAUCGAACUCCACUUCAACCCAAAAUCCACUUCACAACUCAAAGUCCAGUUUCGGUGAAACAAACAUGUCCUAAGCUAGUACUACUUUUUGGAGCAGAGAAACUAUUAAAAGAGCCAUUCCAAACAGGCAUUGAAUCACUUACCGCCUUUAAAUUCAGUAAGGAAAUAAAGCCGCUCUUAUUCGGCCCGAGCAAUCCGAACUGUUCUCGGAGAUAGAAGAGCUGGUUCACGGUCAACGUCUUGGCAAGUGCCUGGAAAAUGUUCAAGUAUAUCAAGCUAUGUCAACAUAGUCGAUAAAUUCCAAUUAUUAAAUAAAAAAGGAAACAAUGUUAAAUGAUCGAUUAAAAGAGUUCGCUCAAUCAAUUUCAUGGAAAGGGGAAAAAAAAGCAAAUAAGUCGAUAAUUUGUUAGUAAAUGUUUUGAAAAUGUUUACAUCAAGAUAAACAUCUUCGUUCUCCAUUAAACUAUAGGGCAAAUGAAUCGAAUAUAAACCAAUCACACGGUUCUGAGCAAGCAAAUGGAGGAGACAUUAACAAGUUUUGAAUUACCAUUCGAUAAAAGAAACUGAUAUAUCAAUUGAAGAAACAUUUUAAUAAGAUAUCGCACUUUAAAGUUAAUAUCUACGGCUUUUUAACUACCCACAAGAUCAAGUGAACAAUCAUAAGGCCUGUUUGUUUGCCCGUAAAUAUUUUUCAGAUUGAAAAUGACUUUCAGUUGAACCGAAGUUCGGGUGGAAAAAAAUUUUCCCACCAAUAAUUUCGGAACAAGUAGGAGCAUUUUUUUUUUCUUCUUUUUAAGGAAUCGAUUAGGAUAAUUAAAACCAGGGCGAGGACGGAACAAUCAACAUGGCAUAUUUGUAUAGAGAUUAUAAACUGAUUUUUACCCGCAAAGCUGAUUUCCUUAGAGAAGACGAACUAAUGUAAGCUCUCAUGAGCUUGUAAGUUAAGAUGUCGAGAGGAAUCCUCACUUCUUGAGCCUCGCGAAUCCAAGGAUGGCCUGCGUUUUAAAAUGAAACCAAAGUAUUACUUUUAAGUAUAUAACACUACAUUAAGCAAUCACAAGGCCACGAGGAAUUUACAUAGAGCUUGUGAAGCCGUCAUUCUCUUGCGGUAAUCCUUAUUGAGCAACCUCCUGACGAAGUCUUUCGCUUCGGCAGAGAGGGACGGCCACGGAGGUUCGUCGAAGCUCGGUUCGGCUUUUAGAACUGCUCGGAAUAUGCCCGAUUCGGUGCGGGCCCAGAACGGGCGGCUCCCGCAGAGCAAAAUAUACACGAUUACUCCGAUGCUCCACAUGUCAGCCUCAGUUCCGUAAGAUCGAUGAAGAACUUCCGGCGCAACGUAGUAUGCGCUACCGACAAUGUCAUUAAGCCUUUCGUCUGCACAAUUCGAGUAAUGGGAAAAUGAAACCCAUAAAAUCAUCAUUAAAAUGUAAUAGUUCGAGAGGAAAAAAAGUGAAAUUCCCAAUUAUUAAAAAAAAGAAAAAGAAAAAAGAACUAACCUGGCUUAACAAAGUCAGAUAGGCCAAAAUCUAUGACCUUCAGGGUUGAAUUAUCGUCCUUCGAAGAGAAAAGGAAAUUCUGAACAACCAACAUAAUGGAUUAUCAAACACAGUUCAAACAAGGUACACCACAAUGAAUGUUAAAAGAGUACUCGCGCAAGGGUCAUUUGAUUUAGGCUCAUAAAUAUAUCCACACCAGAAUUUUACUUGGGGCAUAAAUAAGCAUUUUUACCAUUUAUUUUUGAUUUUGCGAUUUCGGUCUAAAAUAUUCUAGCACGGACCAGAACGCCUCUCGCUGAAGCUCUACUACACAACCUUAUGAGCGUUAAAUAAUGUAAAACAAUCAUUAUUCUCCAAAAACUUAAACUACUAGAGAAUGGUAUUUUUAAUGAAUCAUUAUUCUCCAAAAACUUAAACUACUAGAGAAUGGUAUUUUUAAUGUUUAUAUUCAACACUUUCCCUCACAUCUGAGCUCGAGACAUUUUAAUAGGCCCAAGAUGUGGACUUGAAUUAAAUGGGAAGAAAUUAGUAGUACUAAGGGCCUAGCGGGACUCGAACUAAGAACCUCUUACUCUAAUACCAUGUUAAAUAAUGCGAAACAACCGCUAUUCUCCAAAAGACUAAGCUACUAGAGAACGGUGUUUUUAAUAUUAAUAUUCAACAAUCAGAAGAUGGCAAUUAAGUAUUCACUCCAUAAAAGAAAACAUUAGUUCAUAGUGAACCAUAGCUACAAAAACCAAAAAGAAGUGGAUUAUGUUGAAAAAAAAAAAAAAAUCAGAAACAAACAAUUUCCGUAUGAUGUUGUUUGAGUAAUGCAGUACCUCCGGCUUGAGAUCUCGGUGGACGACACCUUGAAGAUGGCAGAAAGAUACGAUGCUCAAAAUUUGAACCAUUACGGCUUUCGCAUCUUCUUCCGAAUAUUUCCCACCCCUAGAAUGAAUAAAAGUUAUUCCUCAUCUAGGAAUAUUUUUAAUGGUUAAUACUUGUACUAAACCAGUACUACUCUUACAUACAACAUGGAAAAUUGGAAAUAAAACAGAUAAUAUAUGAUUACGGAUAUCAAUGUACCUCGACAGUAUCCUGUCCAAAAGUUCACCUCCGGUACAUAACCUGAAUUAAAACAAAAUAGUCAAAAUAAGCUAUAAUUACUCGAACGAAGAAAUAGGUCACACACAUCUUCUGAAACAGUCAAUAGGUCUCAUAAUAGGUCUCGCACACAAACAUUAUAUCGCACUCACAACUCUCAACUACUUUUGACUAUUGGAACCAAACAACCCCUUCGGUACAAGACCGCGACACACAACAUCGAGUUAAUGAUCGAUUUGCAAGUUUGAACCAACGGUUGAACUUGCACACUGAACACUCAAAAGUAUGCAUUUAUAAUUCAAAGUUGCGCACCGAUCAUUUAAAACUAUGUGUACUAGUCUUUUAGUAAUGGAGCAAGUUUGGUACUAAAAGUUGAAAAGUAGACUAAGAAAAUCAUAUCUUUUUGUAAAGAUGGAAAAGAAGAAAAAACAAACACAUUUAAGAAAUAGCACGCCGACUAUCAAAUCACGAGAACGACAGCUGAACCAAAGCUAAUUCUUGUCCACUAGAAGCACGAAUAAGUCUUUCCUAGCAAAAAAUAAUUUCGCCUGUGGAAAGUUGAGAUAGAGCAAAUUUAAAGUAUGUAUUUGUUCAUGUAUCUCACCAUAGAAAUGUCAUAGUUUUAUGCUAAUAAUUUCAAAACCGGAUAAAUUAACUUUCUAGCGAAAACAGUAAGAAAUUGAAAAAGGAAGAAUGAAAUGCGAACUUACUCCAUGAUUAUAUACACAUUGUCUUCAUCCUCGUAAGCAUCAUGGAACUGCACAAGAUUUUUGUGCCCCGAGAGAGAACUCAAUAUUCUCACUUCCCUUCUAACAUCUUCAAUGGAAAUAGCUGUCGUCAUCUGCAAAAGCAUUUUUUUUUCAAUGAAAACAUUUUUAUUUUACAUAAAUUCGGGCAUGCUAUGAUCAUAAAUGGAAUCGAUACUGCAAUAUAUUCAUCAUGGUAUAAGCUUCAAGAAAAUAAAUCGAAAGAUGCAACUCAAUGUUCCUUUUCUUUCCCUGACAUUUAAUCUUCCACUCAAUUCUGAUACUUUUCUUGGUGAGUAUUAGUAUUGAACAAAAGGAGAAGAAUAGGUGAGAAAAAAUAAAUAAAUAUUUUGUUGCGAAUGAUCAUCUUCGUCACAAAAUAUGAAGAUGCAAAUAAACAUCCAAUAGCUAACGGCGAAAGGAGAAGAUACCAGAUUAAUCAUGUGGCGCAAAUAUAUGAACAAAAUGCAGUAUUCCUUAGAUGCGAGCUUUUAUCUUAAAACAAAACGAGGAAGUUGGCUUCUUUUUUCUUUUUUUUUUUUUGAGACAAUGAAGUUGGCAAAAGGUAGUGAUAAUUCUAUUUAAUUUCGCUGUAGGAUCCACCAAAUUGAAAAGGAGAGCUAGUAAAUUCGUGUGUGACUUCGCACCAAACUAAAUGCUAUUACUAACGAACUACAGACAUUUUAAAAAAGAUGGCAAAUUUACUCUGCAGAUCUGGACAAAAAUGACAAAUUUCUUUCAAAGAACAACAAACAAAUUUACGCACUAUAUAACACGAAAGCAAAAAGUAAUCGGAUCAAUAUAGCAAUUUCAACAUCGAUCUAAAUCAUAUAUAUAUAUCUUCGAAACAUGAAAGUAAAAAAGACAAGUAGAUCGCAUACUUCCGAAUUCUUGGAACUCCCGGACUAGAUCACAAAUAUAGAUAUUCAACGCCGAUAAAGAGCAAUGCUAUAGAAAAGAUCGAGAAUUGUAACAUCUCACCGACCUUUGCCUUGGGAAUGACUUUGACGGCGACCUCCUCGCCCUUCAAUUCCCCCUUCUUCGCCCUCGCGGAGCAAGUAUACCCGAAAUGGCCCCUCCCCACCUCCUCCCCGAGAUCGUACUUCGAAAAGAAGUGCUUCGAGAACCCGAAAUUCUUAUCCAACCCUAGCUCAACCUCACUCCCCUCGGGUAUGGAGGCCUCGUUCGGCUUCACCGACCCGUGCCGCCGCGCGAGCAGCGCCUUAAUGUGCUUUGCCGGGGACGGCGGCGGGAAGGGCCGUUUGAAAAGCCGUAAAGGCGUGGAACUUACGCUCGAAUUGGCCGGCGAGCUUUUGUAGGAAGCAGGGAGGGGGCUGGGGAUGUAGAAGGAGAAUUUGGGCUGUUUCGGGGUUUGCGGCUUCGGAGGAGGGAGCUCCUCAAUGGUGGGGGGGUGUUCUACAUGGUUCACUACUGCUUCCUCUUCGGUUUCCGGGGUUUUUUGGAUUGGUUUUCCAUGGCAGAGCCCCAUGGGAGCAACACAAUCACACCCCCAAGUAAAUUGGAUCAAGGGUUUGGAGCCAAAUCACAGGAAAUUGAGCGAAAACCCAGUAAAAAUUUGAUCUUUUUCCCCUCUUCUUGUGGUUUCAACAAAACCCCAGUAAAAUUACAUGACCCUUCACAGAAAAAUAAAUAAACAAGCAAGCAAGAUCAGAGCUUGCUACAUACAAUUGCUGUUGGAAAGGGAAGAGCACAAAAAUGGAGGUUAAAAAUUGCAACUUUUAAAGAUUAGAGAGGAGAGAGAGAAGGAAUGAGAUUACCAAAGUUGGGGCUAAAUCUCCUGCACUUAUCAAUUUGGGAGAAACCAAGAUGGUGUAGAGAGAGAGAGAGAGAGAGAGAGAGAGAGAGGGGGUUGUGAAUUGGUAAAGGCUACAAAUGGAAGAUGCUGAAGAGAGAGAGAGAGAGAGAGGGGGGGGAAGGAAAGGAAAGGAAUCCCCUUUCUUUUGCUUUUUAGCUCUUCUUUGGGGCUGGCUGAGAGUGGCAUCUGUUUUUUGUCAUUAGAGAAGAGGAGGGGAGGGGGAAGAGAGAGAGAAAUUGUUUUUUUUAUUGAGAGAGAGAGAGAGAGUGAGAGAGAGAGAGAGAGAGAGGUAGCAGACUACCUGCAUUGUAUUCAUCUGUAUUGCUCAUUCUUUUUUAAAUAAACUCAGUUAAAAAUACGAAGCAAUAGAAAUUCAAACAUAAGAUUUCGGAUAUUAAUCAUUAAAUUUUUAACCAACAGUACUAAAUACAGUUAGUAAGAGAAAAGAAUUAUUUUUUUAUAAAAAUAAACUCAGCUAAAAGUAUUAAGUAUUUAGGUUUCAAACUUAAAAUCUCGAGUAUUAAUCAUCGAGUCAUUCGCCACCGGCUCUGCUGGAUACGGUCAAUGAGAGAAAUUUUUCUUCUUUAGAGAACGAUAGUAUACUAUCUGUUUUGUUCAUUUUUCUAAAUAAACUGAGCUAAAAAUAUAAAAUAAUUAAACUUUAAAUAGAAAAUUUUAAAUAUUAAUUAUUAAACUUUUAGCCAACUACACCACAUAUCGUCGAUGAGAGAGAAAGAGAAAUUUUUUUUUUUUUAAGAGAUAGAUAGCAUGCUAUCUGUUUUGUUUAUUUUAUUUAGAAAUAAACUUAGCUAGUAAUGUGAAUCAACUAAAAUUCGAACUUAAAAUUUUGAAUACUAAUUAUUAAGUGUUUUACCACUUGCGCUAGGGGGGGAGGAUUAUGAACUGUGAUGAUGUCUCAUUCACAGGCUGUCCUUUCAGCUCCCCCAAAAUGAAAUUGGGAGUUGUUGCACUUGCANAAUUAUUAAAUUUUUAGCCAACUACACUACAUAUCAUCGAUGAGAGAGAGAGGAAUUGUUUUUUUUUAAGAGAUAGAUAGCAUGCUAACUGUUUCGUUUAUUUUAUUUAGAAAUAAACUUAGCUAGUAAUGUAAAUCAACAAGGAUUCGAACUUAAAAUUUUGAAUACUAAUUAUUAAAUUUUUUAUCACUUACGCUAGGAAUGGUCUGUGUGAGAGAGAGAGGAAUUGUUAAUGCUGGGGGGAGGGGGGGAUUGUGAACUGUGAUGAUGUCUCAUUCACAGGCUGUCCUUUCAGCUCCCCCAAAAUGAAAUUGGGAGUUGUUGCACUUGCACUUGCCUUGCUUAAUCCCCCCUCUCUCUCUCUCUCUCUCUCUCUCUCUCUUUCUAGAAACCUCUCUCUCUAUAUAUAUUAUACAUAUAUUCUAUAGUCUCUUUCUCUCUCAUCUCUAUUUUUGUGCUUGAGUAUAUGUAGGAGAGUUGACCUUCAUUUGUGGGAUUAAAAAGGGCUCUCUCUUCAGUAGUUACCUCACUCUAUUAAGCUUGCAUGCCUGCAGGUCGACUCUAGAGGAUCCCCGGGUACCGAGCUCGAAUUCGCCCUAUAGUGAGUCGUAUUACAAUUCACUGGCCGUCGUUUUACAACGUCGUGACUGGGAAAACCCUGGCGUUACCCAACUUAAUCGCCUUGCAGCACAUCCCCCUUUCGCCAGCUGGCGUAAUAGCGAAGAGGCCCGCNUCUCUCUCUAUAUAUAUUAUACAUAUAUUCUAUAGUCUCUUUCUCUCUCAUCUCUAUUUUUGUGCUUGAGUAUAUGUAGGAGAGUUGACCUGCAUUUGUGGGAUUAAAAAGGGCUCUCUCUUCAGUAGUUACCUCACUCUAUCAAGCUUGGAGAAAAAAACAAUAAAUAAAGAAUUGUAAAAAAAGAAGGAAAAAAAAUGGUUUGGCUUGCUUGCCAAGGUAAAAGUAGAUUAACUUAAGUGCCUAAUUGGCUGAAUUUCUGCAAUGGUUUCUUCACUCAAGACAAUAAAAUUUUAGAAUAUUUGAAUAAUAAUAAAAAAGAGAGAGAGAGAGAGAGAGGGGGGGGAAAUAGAAGAAGAAUAUUUGAAUAAUUUAAAGAAAAUAUUUUUUUUUAUUU
rnacentral:lncRNA from 1 species